rnacentral:rRNA from 1 species
AUGGUGACCGAGUAUUUCAACACCACAAGCGGUGCGAUAAGUUUGUCAAGCAAAUUGCGAGGGAAAAUCAAAACGUUCGAGUGCGAAAAGCAAAUGGCGAAUGAAAACACCCUGCAAAUACCCCGUUCAUCUAUCACUCGUUGUACUUCUCCCCAUUUUUGUCAACGAGUGUCAAAAAGAAAGAGAACACAUACGAGGAAGUACUUGGCCGGAGUGUCCUCAGAAUCAAAAUUGAAACUGCUCGAUGAAUCAGAACUCGCAGAGCGAGGAAUGGUCGAGGCAGAAGCAGGAGUAGCAACAUUGACUUUAGAAGAAAUGUUGUGA